rnacentral:misc_RNA from 1 species
CAACCAUCAAGCCCGGCUUGUGUUGGGGACCCUGCGGCUGCCCGCAGGCCCCGAAAUCCAGUGGCGGGCUCGCUGUCACCCCGAGCGCAGUAGAGGGAGCAAUUACCACAUCCUCGCUCAGGGCCGUGAGGGCGGGCUCCAGCCGUUAAAGUGACUUUACCCCACAAAACAAGG